CAGUGAGGAAUAUUGGUCAAUGGCCUAUGGGCUGACCCAGCACCUUGGCGGAAUGAGGAUUUAAAGUAAAGGACUUUAAUUUCGGCUAAGUCGUAUAAAGUUCUAGAUAGUUACUGAUUGUGACAACUUCUAUCUAUAUGUCUUGACCAAAUCUUGUGCCAGCAGUCGCGGCAAGACAAGAGAGACUUGUGUUAUUCAUCUUUAUUAGGUUUAAAGGGUACCUAGACUGUUGUUAUUGCCUUACUGGUACGUAGACAACUAGAGUUUAAUAUAAAAAAAUUGAACAAUUGAAGGAAAGAUCGAAUGCGGUAAUAUCAAUUAGACAGGUAAUGGCGAAGGCUAUUUAUUAUGUAAAAACUGACGUUGAGGGACUAAGGCAACGAGUCACGAAAAGGAUUAAAGACCCUCCUAGUCUUUGCAKACAAUUAUGAGUGUUAUAGACUAUAAAUACAAUAGGAGUCUAUAAAUGAAAGUGUAAGCACUCCACCUCAAGAGUAAUGUGGCAACACAGGAACUGAAAUCAUUAGACCGUUUCUGAAACCAGUAGUGAARUAUGUUAUUUAAUUCGAUGAUCCUCGAAUAACCUUACCACAAUUUGUAUAGUUAAAUGUAAUAUAAUAUAUAUAAUANAGAUAUAUAUUAUAAAAAUUUAUACAAGCGUUGCACGGCUGUCUUCAGUUAAUGUUGUGAAAGUUGGUUAGAUCCAGUGAAUUAGCGUAAACCCUUGCUUUAUUUAUUAUCAUAAAGUAGAUCACCAUUACAAUGGUAAAGAGUAUAAUAUUAGACAACAACGUUUUAUAGGAGCAUUGUUGCGUGUAUAUCUUACACAAAUAUGUUAUUUAAUAUAUACAAUUAUAUGGAUAAAAGGGACUAAGACAAGUCAUCAUGACCUAAAUAUUGUGGGCUAUAGACGUGCCA
rnacentral:rRNA from 1 species